UCGAGACCUGUAAAGUAAACCCGUGAACCUGUUCUCAACAUGCUUGGGUCCGCACCAUUGGAUGCCUCGGUGUCCCUUGUUGCGCUCCCAUCCCGACGACUCAUGCGUGCGUGGGUUGCUCGGGUUAACGAACAUCCCGGCGUGGCAAGCGCCAAGGAAAACUAUCACGAGAUUGUUUGCUCUUACGAGGCAUCGUUUGCGUUGCAUCGUUUUGUAGCAAGUGCUUGUUGAAUCACUAAAUGACUCUCGGCAACGGAUAUCUCGGCUCUCGCAUCGAUGAAGAACGUAGCGAAAUGCGAUACUUGGUGUGAAUUGCAGAAUCCCGUGAACCAUCGAGUCUUUGAACGCAAGUUGCGCCCAAAGCCAUUAGGCUGAGGGCACGUCCGCCUGGGUGUCACGCAUCGCGUCGCCUCCUCCCUCUCCCCCUUUCAUUUGUCAAAGCGGGUGGAGCCGAGGGGGCGGACAUUGGCCUCCCGUGCCGUUCUUGUGCGGCUGGCCUAAAUGUGAUUCCUCAUCGACGGAUGUCACGACUAGUGGUGGUUGAAUCAAUCGCGUGCUGUUGUGAGAGACCUCGUCGGAUUGUGGACAUCAUUACCGACCCAACAAUGGCAAUUGUUUUCGAUU
rnacentral:rRNA from 1 species